CGAAGCUUCGUUCGUAUUGCACGUGUCUGCAACAGGUAUUUGAGCUUAAUUUUCGAUCAAACAUGGCCUGUUUUACCGAUGCGGAAUUCGGAGUUCAGCCUCCAAAACACAAAAAGAAACAUCGAAGAGUACUCUGCGAGGCUGCGAGACUUGCUCCCGGUUUGCGUGUGGUAACGUUAGCACAUUGAAUGAACGGCUGGAGAGCACCGGCUCGGUCCCAUCGCUAAAGCUGCGGGUACACACGCGAGUAAAAGACACGUUCGUGUUGCAUGUGGGACUGUGUGGUUUCGACGACGACUACGUCACGUCCUCUCAUGGCAAUCAGUGCAGCUGGCCACCAACGCGUUCCCACGGGGCCAAACCGACCCGGCCGGCCGGCCAGCUUCGGUCGCCUUUGCGAACGCGCCUUUUACCUCUUUCUCUUUCUUCCACCAUCUCGCUUUCUCUCACCUGGUAUACCAUUCCUUCCAUCUCCCUUUGUCCCUUUUCACCUCCACUUCAUACCUUUCCACGUUGUUUCGUGAAGAUUACUCACGCGGGUGCAACAACGUUUUUACCUGCCGCACUUGCCGUGUAAUUCCAACGGUUCUACCGGAUAGACACUCUUCAUGACUUUUUUUUCCCCCCUUUUAUAUUACUCAGACAGUCAUUUUCGAAAUGCUGGCCCGAUGAUGAUUUAUGAAAGGAUCGUUAGGAUUUUAUUGCUACUUACAAACGAGCCUUGCAUACAUGCGAGCGGAUUUAAUGGACUGCCGAGAGUAACUGAAGCUCCUCUUCGCGUGGAUCAUUAAUUAAACAUCCAUGUAGAUAGUCGUUGAUUAGAAUAAUACUUUUGGUUAGUGUUACAUCACCUGACUGAUUCUAUUUCUUUGAACAUGACAAUUAUAUGAUAAUUGAUCGCGACUGAAAAGUAAAUGGACAAUGAAUAGUCAUUAGCGCAAGGUAGGGGGCAGAGUGCAUCUUGUAUAAUUUUAUUUGAAUAGAAAUAAAUAUUUGAGAGAAAUGUAAUACAGUAAUAAUUGUCUAAUUGAGAGGUCAAUAUUUUGUAACAAAAUUACAAAAGUAGUGGUUGAAUGAGAAAAAAAAAAAUGAAAGGAUAAGUUUAAAAUACUUCACACGUUGCAGCAUACUAUUCAACGAGUCGAGUCGGUCGUUUGAACGGAACGUCAUACAUUUUAAAUUUAACUCGGUAAUGUCUUUAGCGGGCACGCGUAUCAUUAAAAUGUUCCGCAUGCGCUAAUCACCAGACACACGAACGAACGAUUGGCGUUUCAUUAAAAAUAUCCGCACGCAUGGCUUCUCUUUGCUUCGCUGCAACUCUAUUCCUGCGGCUCGUGAAACGAAACUGUACGAAGGAACAAACACGGGGGUCCUUCCACGCUCUUUUUCCUUUAUUUCUUAUCGCCUUCCUUGACUUCUUACCUUUCUCCCUACCGAACUCAUCCCCCUUUUCCUUUCUCCUCCACCUCUCUCGACUUUUCUUUUUUAUUUCUUUUAUUUUUACCUGCCAGCUAACGCACAGACGCGUUGCAUACACGCGCAGUCGAGUCGUUUUCGAGACCUUCUCGCAGAAUUCAUCGCCACGGGUGUGCUCGUGGGAGGCUUUAUACGGUGUCCAUGGUGAAGACGUUCAAAUGAAUUUACUGUCGUUGUUCUUUCUCUGGAUGGGUACCACCGGCCUCGAAAACUUACGAUGAAAAGGUUCGACACAGCUGGGAAGAAAUACCUACUAAAGUUGGAAUAGUGGUGGUCUUUGAUAUACACCGUUAUCGACCCGAAGAGAAGUAACGUUGAAUGAUACGAGGGUGGCCAGCACACUUUUAGUCUGUUCAUGACUCGAUCUUGAAGUUUGAUACGCGUCUUGUAGCUCGUUUUCAAGAAAUAUGGUGACAGGGGUUACAAAGGUUUUCCUCAGCCGCUGAAAAUCUCUAUUUCCUUUCAUAAUAUUUUUAUCAAUGUUUUCCUUUAACCCGAAAUCACGAGAUAGUAGAGUUACAGGAAGUAACAAAGUUAUUCAUGAUCUAACGAUUGCGUUUAUUUUUCAUUUCUGAUUAAUCUCGUUCGUUUUCCAAACAUUUAUGUCCACCCUAUCAAUCCCGUUACUAUUUUAGAAAAUUAGAAUUUGCUCCUAUGACUAUUCUUUCAAUAGGUACAUACCAAGCUGUAAAUUACAAGCCUUUACUUAUGUUUUUAAUAUACUCUCGCAAUUACAGGGCCUGGAAACCGCUUGGAAAAACCGGCGUUCGAGUUAAAAUCGCACGCAUUGUGCAUUGUGCGACACAGUCGAAAAGCGUCGACCGCAUCGUCGGGCGCAGCUAUAUAAACGAGUGUUCUUUGAACAACAAUGUUCCAAGGCCGACAACAGAGCAUUUCGGCACACCUGAGUUACCUGGUGCAUUUAAUACCUGGCUGCAGGUACGAUGGGAACGACCCGACAGUUCUGGAAUUCCGUUCAAGGUUCCGUAUAGAUUUCAUUUUAAACAGCUCUGGUAAACGAUGGAUAUAAACCAGUCGUUGAAAACGAAUCUUACACCGAAACAAUGCCCGUGAAAAUGACUUUAUACGCAAAGGCAGGUAGCAAAUACGCCUUCAGUGUUCGUUGUCGAACAAAAGAUAGAGGGGGGAUACGAACAACUGCUUCUGUCUUAAUGGGAUUUAACUGGUCCGGGUUAGGGCUUACGAAGCGCAGCUGCAGCAAAUAUAAAAUUCAAUGUCUAGCAGCGGAAUAAACAGGCUGCGCUGUCGAGGAGGUGCCCUUGCUAGGUGAGACUAUCGUGUCGUACCUAGUGCUCUAGAUUUCCGUUAAACCGAGAAACAAACGACGCGACGCGACAUGAAAACAGGUCACCGAGCGUUAAUGACGGUCCGGUGGUGCGUUCGUCGUCGCGCAUAUACGCUCGCCGCUCGGGUAUUUUAAAAACCGGUGACGAGCUUGUAUUUUCGCGGUACGGACCGUUUGAACAGCUGCGCAAAUAGUGGAUCCUCGCGGCACGAUGCUCCGCAAUUUUUGUCUCCUGUUUCAGCUCGCGCGUAUUUUUAUUACGGCUCGAUCACGAGCUCCGUGCCAUUCCGCAAUCAACGACCGUAUAAAUUAACAGGGACCGCUUAUUUCUGUACCUUGAUUCCCCGUAAAAAGUGUAUGUACCGUUAUCGAAGCGAAGUUUUUUUCAUUCGAGUGUCGCUCGACGAUUUAAUUUGUCAGGUCGAGUUCCUUAAUACAACAUCAUUCGAGUAAUCACCGUUCGAUUAUUGGUGAUUAUCAGCGGUACUAUCCAGAUUUGUCUCCAUAAUUCCAGCCUUAAUGUUCAGGUUCGAGCAGUGACGCACAACCUCGACGUUCACUGAUUAACAUGUUCGUGCCCGGGGUAACAGGUGCAGCCCGGCUGAUUGUAAGAUAAGGCGAACUCGUAAAUGAAACUAUUAAGAAUCAUCAUGAUUGAUAUCGAAACAAUCGGUAACGUAUGCUAUAAAUUUUACGAUUACUUCUGAAGAUCGGCAUCAUUUUGAAAUGGGUAGAUUUACCAAACUUGGAUUGAACGCGUUAAAGCUUUAUUAAUUUUACAGAUAAAUGAAAAAUUUUUUAUCGUGAAAAAUUUCAAAGCUUACGAUCAUUACGUCGAAUUAAGAAGUUGGAAUUGUUCACGAUUUCUCCCUACAUAUUCCGGCGAUCGUGGCGGCUAAGAAAGGCUGUGCUUACAAUUAGCACCGUGUUAGAAUAGAAGAAGACGGAGAGUCGAAAAGAGGAAAGAAAGGAAUGGAGGGGCGAGAGGAAGAGGAAAAGAGAUGAAGUACGAUGGAGCAAGUGUGGGUAUAUAGUUAUAGCCACCGUGGCCCUGAUACGAUGUUACAGUCUGUAGGCAGUCAGGAAUCAGGAGGGUCGCCCCACAGCUAACACGUGCAAGGCGCACGUGCACUCCGAGAGACCACUCUAGCCUCUGGCGCACAAUCAUCGGAUGCCAAGAUACACUCCACGGAAUAAUUUUCGAGGGGCACUCCCAUGCCUUCCUCCUUCGACUCUCGUUUCGCGAAAAAAGAAAUCAGCCACGAAGGAGAACGAGUUUCGUCGAUUUAAGGACGCGUACCAACGAACGGCAUCCAUCAUUUAUCAUGGGAAAUAUUCAAAUUUCGUCUAUCACAUGAAUUGUAUAAAAUUUUUCAUUUAUUAUUUAAUCAAUCUUCAUAAAUAACUAGUAGGUACAUAAUUCUAAAAAUGAUUUAUUUAUAAAUAGUAAUUUGUCAAUUCAAUACCGGGUGUUUUACUCCGAUACAUAAUACAAGAAUUAAAACUCGAUAUCGGUAUUCAUAGUAAAUUAAUUUUGGUCCUAGGCUGUACCUAAGUUUGAAGUUUGCAAAUAUUUCCUGUCAGCAGCAAUAAAUCGCUAUUCGCUAAAAUUUAUUCGAUCGUUUAUUCAUAAAAUUAACUGAAUACCGGUAUACGUCAUACAGUUAUCACAUUUUGCUCGAAAUUUAGAUUAAUUUUAAAAUAUCUUUUAGUGCCAGCCAACAGAGUAUCCUCCACGACAUUUAUCCCAACGUCUACCUUUGAAGUGUUUAAUUAUUAAUAUCCAAGGUAUAAGAAGAAAUAGGUGAAACGUAAGUAAUAUUUCCUUCCUAAAAUCCAUUAUUACGUAAGUUUUUCUAGCCGUUCUCCCUUUUGACGGUAAUAAAUCCUGGUUCUCUGAAGCGUGCAGUCGGAUGAGCGAAGAUAACACCAUGUUUCCUGCGUUUUUCUGAAAGAAUCGAGCAAGCCUGGCGGCCUUGUACGCAUGUUGCGUCGGUGUUGCGCACCACGCGGCACAAAUUUAUUCGCGCGAGUGUACGAGUGUAUACGAGGUGAGUACCUACGCAAGCUAUCGCGACGGACGACGCGACGGACGCGCGAUGCGGCAGGAAGCACACGAUUACGGGCUCGCUUUGGGGUCGUUCGUACCCGGUGCAUGUGCGGCAGCUGCAAAGAUGCGCGCAGUUUCACCGGUCGCAAUCUCGACGGCCCGAUUUCGAAGGAGCCGGGCACGCAACUGCGCUAAUUAUAGGUGCAUACUCUAGUCUUUCUUUACGACAAAUCGUAGCCGGAGGAAAUAUAUGCGGUCGCAUCGUUCUACCGCCAUGGCUCCUGCCUUUAUAGUGGUUAAUUGAACCGUGUCGCUGGAACUCGAUCGAGAUAACUGAAAUUGUUCAUUACAGACGGUGGAAAGGCUUUCCAGAUAUCUCCCGAUACACUAAUUGAACACGACUAAUGAUGCAUCAAGAUUUUUCUGAUCUUUUCCUACAAAAUUGGUAUCGACGAUUCUAUUUAACUUUCAUUGUUCACAGACGAUACAUACGUGUCUUGAAGGAAGCUCUGUUUCACGCGAUAGAGUAAUUAAAAAAAUGCAGACAGAUCUUCCCAGCUGCGCCAACAAUUAAUUACUUCGGUAUGCGGAAAGUUGGCUACGUAUGGAAGUUUCAUCGAUUAACCCGUUUAUUUCGAUAAUGCAAUGGAAGUACACGGUUUAUUAUGUAAUCGACCUCUCAGCCUUUCGUUUAUCAUAAAACGUUACGAAAUGUUAUUGUGCGGAAUCGACCUUCGUAUCGAGGCGAAACGCAUAUCUGCGUCAAAGAUCGACUGUCUGGUCUCCUUUUUUCUUUCUUAAUAUCGAACUUUCAACGUUAGUAUGUACAGCACUGGGCAUGGUGAACUUCCAUAAGGAAAAUGGUCGUAUAAAGGAAGACAGUUCAAUAACUAUAAUUAGAGGAUUGAAAUAUUUCUAUGAUUUAGAGGUUUAUGGUAUUUUACCUAGCCCUGCUUUUGACUUAGGUCCUAGGGUAUCUAAAUAUCGAUGAUUCAAAAAUUUAUGAUUUCUAAUUUACUUUUUAAAACAAAAUUUUACUUAGGUUUGUUUUCGACCUACGGGCUCCGAAUAUCAAUGAUUCAGAAGUUUAUCAAAAACACACAGAAGAGCUUUAUUCAUCCACGUCGGGUUACGUUACGUCUUCGUGCAUUAUCAAAGUCCAGCCAUUCAUUUGUUUGUCUUCUGGUUUAACGUUCACAACAUCCCUGACUGGCAAAUUCUCGGCUCAUUACGUAGGCUCGCGUUCAUCGCGAUAGGUACAAUACUUGUUCCCUAAUUGAAAAGAAGCGUGGACAGCACGAUAAAAUCGUACCAAGUCACACCUGUUUAUCGACAGCACUGAAUUACAUGUUUAAUCGAAACUGUUUGGUCAGAUCUAUUGGAAUAGAUAUCAAAUACAAAAUUUGUAUUAGGUUGAGCAAUCUUGAUUAUCACAGAAGUUCCUAUUGAAUUUAGAAUGAAUUACGUAUUUAGCAGUGGUUUGGCAAAUAUAGUUUUUAUAACUACACAAGCUAAGUUCUAUUCUUUUAUUCUUACCAGACAAUCGUUAAUUAGAAAUUGUCCAGUGUAAAAACCCUCGUAUUGUAAUUUUUAUUUCUACAUAAAAACGACAACAGUCCACUAAAUAUUUUAAAAUUUAUUAUAAAAGAAAAAUAGGAAUAAAGAUCAAGUCGCCACUAAUUGCUAACAAUAAAAUCACUUAACUUUUUAUCGUCAUAAGCAAUUUCAAAUCAGUUUCUGUGCACGUAUCGAAGAAUCCCCGAUAGUAUCAUAAAGAUUCACAAGUUUGUAAAAAACCGUGUCGAGUGUCUUAUCGCGAGGCUAAGCAUCGAACUGAAUAAAGAUAUCUGACGGUCUCUGUCAUUCAUAUAAACUUCAUAGAUUUUCGGUUCGUCUGCACCAAGAAAUUCACUUAAUCACGAUUCCUUAUCGCGUUAUCACGAUCAAUCGAUUCGAGUGCACGUUCGGUACAGCUGACCGAAACACCUGGCUCGUUUUCACGAAAUCAUUCCUUUCGGUGAAUCACGACACGGACAUGUUUUGAUUCAUGCUCAUCUCCUGCGAGCCAUUCGUUCGUUCGCUUUGCAUUCUGGCACGUAAGCUUGUUUUCGCGCCACGUAAAUUUCAACGAUUAUGUUUCACUGGACACGUGCACAACUCGGCCCUCGCCAUUCGCGAAGACGUUCCUCGACGGUGGCGGGUUUCGAAAGCAGAUACUAUUUCGAGGAUCCAUAAUAGUUUAUUGAAAUAAUCUUCUACUAGUAAGAUGCAUUGUUUAGAUUACACCUAAUUAACAUAACAAAGCGUUAUAUAAAUUUCUUUUAAAAAAACGAGUAACACUGUCGCGUAUUGUUUUAUGCAUUACGAUGAUAAGGGUAUUGAAUAACAAUCUGCUCUAAAAUUCAAAAUGGAAAACAGAAAUAUUACGCAGCAAUAUAGAGUACACGUUACGUGUAACGAGUUUGAGUACAGUAA